CACAGACACACCCAGAAGUAAAGAAUAAUAUAUAAAUAGCUUCCUGGGGAUCCUUCAGAAUGUCUUCCUGUUUGUGUAUCCUCUACUAUCAAUGCAAAGUACCUCUCAUCCAAUUUUCCACAGUCAACCCAAUGCGAAUACAAUCGACCCUCUGCGUCCUACUGUUCUGCAUCCCUGGAUUCAACCAACCAUCCAUUGAAGAUAUUUGGAAACAAAAACUGCACUUCUAGAGCAGCAAGAGACAUAGCACUCCUCCCCUGCAGAGACCACAGAAUCAUGGCGUCAUCUUGGAAGCAAAGAACAGCCCUCACCAGACACUAAACCUGUUGGCACUUUGAUGUUGGACUUCCCAGCAUCCAGAACUCUAAAAACUAAAAUUACUCAGUGCUUGUUAUUUUGUUCUAGCACACAAAUGGACUAAGAUAUUGCUAUAUUUUCUAGUGUUGAAAAUACAUUCAAUGUAACAAUUGCCCUCAGAUGUUGUCUAACAUAUAACUAAGAUCUAAAAAAUGCAACAAAAGCUUUGUGUUUUAGACUGGUGUUGUAUAUAAGAGUAAGAGGAGAGACAGGAAACUAGCCUGAUUUGAGAGGGAUGUAUUUGGGGCACCCAGUGUAACACCACACACAUAGAAGCCAAUAAAUAAAUGUUUGUUGAGUUAAUAAAAAGUGAGGUCUGUGAACAGGGGACUUUAUUAUUAUGGGAGGCACAGGGUGCAGUAGAAAUGGCUCUGGCCUUGAGGACACAUCUGUCCUGCACAUCUUUUGCUGCUCCUUCAUCCACUCCAGCCCUUAUGUACCUUAUGUACCUUAUGUACCCAUGAUGGCCUCCACUUGAGCUCUCUCCCCUUCUGGCUCUCAGAUAGGUAGGGCCAGUGGGGAGCAAUGGGAGAGGUCAGAGGGAGAAGGGAAGAGAAGGAGGCCACAGUACUCAAUCCUUGACCCCUUCCUUGUAAUGUCUAGGGAUAGCUGUGUCUCCCAAUCACAAGCCACUGUCCUGCCCUUUUUGACCUCCGACCCCAUCAACAUUCCAAGGGUGGAAAUGGUGAGGUUGGUGCUCUCCUCUGGGCACUGUUGUAACCUGUGGCUUCCCAACACCCUGCUGUAAACAGUCUUUUGAUGAAAGUCUUCUCAAAUUGCUUAAUUUGGACAGUGACAGCCUUUCCCACAUGGGCCUGUACAGCUAUGCUUGUUCAUAGGGAACACUUGGUUUUGUGCAGUAAAAAUCCAGUGAAGUGUGUUAAAGAAAAAAGCAAAGACAUGGGGUGAUGCAUGAGAAGCUGUUGAGUAACUUCUAGGGCCCAGAGGCAAGGUCAUCAGAACCCUUCCCAUGUGGUGCCAGAACUGGAACUAGAAGGUCAGCAGGAAGUAAAAUGGCCAUGCAAGGCACCCCUCCAGGCCUCAGUGGGGCUUUCAUAGCUGCUUCCCUCUGCAUGUCCCCCUGUCUCUCCCCACUAGCCAUGCCUGUCUCUCUUGGUUUCCCUGGUGAGAGAUGUUCCUCCCUUAAUUUACAGGUUCACAUGUUCUUAACUCAACUCACUAAGGUUCACAAUGCCUCUUAGGCCUUAAAAGAAUAACUAGGCUUUUCCACACAGGGCCAACACUCCACGCUUAUCCAAUUAGCUAUGGCAGGAGGAUCUGGGUCUGUUGUAUUUCUGCCUUCAUGAAUGAGGAAACAGUGGUAUAGUUACAUAAUUUUUAAGGUCACAUGGUGGUAGGACAAGAGCUGAGAAUAAGAACUGUAUACCUCCACAGUUUAUGCUCUUUCUAAUAGAAGAAGAAUAAAUAAUCACAGAAGUUGGGUAAUGAAGAAAGUGAGAAAUGGAAAUACUAAGUAUUUUGGCUACUUGUCCCAAGUGCAGGGUGAGCUGCUCUGAGUGUAGGGUGAGAAGCCCUCUGAGAGGGAAGCCGUCUGUACUCAGCAGGCUCUGUAAUAGGAGUCUGCUACAGGAGAGAUGACGGGACACUCUUUAACCCAAUGUACAGACCUGGGGUCAUGAUCAUUCACAGCUAUGCAGAGAAGACCACAAUUUAUGCCAGCUUUGAAUUACACUGUGGCAGUGUGAAAUCAAAGCAGAGCCUAUAUUUCAUUUCUUAUUCACACACUUGGUAAAGUGACUAAUGAUGUUUAUUUCUACAUUUAGUACAGUGACAAAUGAUGUUGAGGAUCUUUUCGUGUGCUUAUUGACUACUCUUAUAUCUUAUUUAAGAAUAUC